rnacentral:rRNA from 1 species
GUAAGGAGUUUUCGGCAAUGGGGGGAACCCUGACCGAGCAACGCCGCGUGAGUGAUGACGGCCCUAUGGGUUGUAAAGCUCUGUUAUAAGGGACGAACAGCUUUGCUAGGAAAUGAGCAGAGUCUGACGGUACUUUAUCAGAAAGCCACGGCUAACUACGUGCCAGCAGCCGCGGUAAUACGUAGGUGGCAAGCGUUAUCCGGAAUUAUUGGGCGUAAAGAGUGAGCAGGCGGCAGAUUAAGUUUGGGGUUAAAGCGUGGGGCUCAACCCCAUAAAGCCUUGAAAACUGAUCAGCUAGAGUACGAGAGAUGUGAAGGGAACUCCAUGUGUAGCGGUGAAAUGCGUAGAUAUAUGGAAGAACACCAGUGGCGAAGGCGCUUCACAAGCUCGAAACUGACGCUCAGUCACGAAAGCGUGGGUAGCAAAUAGGAUUAGAUACCCUAGUAGUCC